rnacentral:rRNA from 1 species
AGAGCGAACGCUGGCGGCAUGCCUAACACAUGCAAGUCGAACGAGACCUUCGGGUCUAGUGGCGCACGGGUGCGUAACGCGUGGGAAUCUGCCCUUGGGUUCGGAAUAACAGUUGGAAACGACUGCUAAUACCGGAUGAUGACGUAAGUCCAAAGAUUUAUCGCCCAGGGAUGAGCCCGCGUAGGAUUAGCUAGUUGGUGAGGUAAAGGCUCACCAAGGCGACGAUCCUUAGCUGGUCUGAGAGGAUGAUCAGCCACACUGGGACUGAGACACGGCCCAGACUCCUACGGGAGGCAGCAGUGGGGAAUAUUGGACAAUGGGCGAAAGCCUGAUCCAGCAAUGCCGCGUGAGUGAUGAAGGCCUUAGGGUGUAAAGCUCUUCGUACCCGGAAUAUAAUGUACUGUAACCGGAGAAUAGACUACCGGCUAAACCGUCCGUGACCC